AUACGGAGGGUGCAAGCGUUAUUCGGAAUCACUGGGCGUAAAGGACGCGUAGGCGGGUUGGCAAGUCAGAUGUGAAAUCCUACACUUAACUGUAGAACUGCAUUUGAAACUGCUAACCUAGAGUAUGGGAGGGGGAGAUGGAAUUAGUGGUGUAGGGGUAAAAUCCGUAGAUAUCACUAGGAAUACCGAAAGCGAAGGCGAUCUCCUGGAACAUAACUGACGCUAAGGCGUGAAAGCGUGGGGAGCAAACAGGAUUAGAAACCCUAGUAGUCC
rnacentral:rRNA from 1 species